rnacentral:tRNA from 2 species
GGGCCCGUAGCUCAGCCAGGUAGAGCGGCGGGCUUUUAACCCGUAGGUCGUGGGUUCGAAUCCCACCGGGCCCGCCA